AACCCUGAACGGUGAAUGAUUCGGCUCAUCUGUCAAUGAAAAACGCCGCUGUCUGUGUGCUCUGAUGUAAAUUGCAGGACUAAAGUGACCAUCGGCACCUCGAACGCACAUUGCAGCUUCGGGAUACCAUCGUUCAGGACCGGUCUAGAGGUG
rnacentral:rRNA from 1 species